rnacentral:rRNA from 1 species
CCUUGCCAGCCCGCUCAGAAACUCAAAGGAAGUUGACGGGGCCCGCACAAGCGGUGGAGCAUGUGGUUAAUUCGACGCAACGCGAAGAACCUUCCCUGGGCUUGACAUCUGGGGAAUCUCAUGGAAACAUGGGAGUGCGGAGCAAUCUGAACCCCAAGACAGGUGCUGCAUGGCUGUCGUCAGCUCGUGUCGUGAGAUGUUGGGUUAAGUCCCGCAACGAGCGCAACCCUUGUCUCUAGUUGCCACCAUUCAGUUGGGCACUCUAGAGAGACUGCCGGUGAUAAACCGGAGGAAGGUGGGGACGACGUCAAGUCCUCAUGGCCUUUAUGCCCAGGGCUACACACGUGCUACAAUGGAUCGUACAAAGGGUCGCGAACCCGCGAGGGGGAGCCAAUCCCAAAAACCGGUCCUCAGUUCGGACUGGAGUCUGCAACUCGACUCCAUGAAGUUGGAAUCGCUAGUAAUCGUGGAUCAGCAUGCCACGGUGAAUACGUUCCCGGGCCUU